AUUGAACGCUGGCGGCAUGCUUUACACAUGCAAGUCGAACGGGCUUAGGUGCUUGCACCUAAGUUAGUGGCGAACGGGUGAGUAAUGCAUCGGAACGUACCGUGUAGUGGGGGAUAACCCGGCGACAGUCGGAUUAAUACCGCAUACGAUCUAAGGAUGAAAGCAGGGGAUCGCAAGGCCUUGCGCUAUACGAGCGGCGCAGGUGGGAUUAGCUAGUUGGGAGGGGAAAGGCCGACCAAGGCAACGAUCCGUAGCGGGUCUGAGAGGAUGAUCCGCCACACUGGGACCGAGACACGGCCCAGACUCCUACGGGAGGCAGCAGUGGGGAAUUUUGGACAAUGGGCGAAAGCCUGAUCCAGCCGUGCCGCGUGAGUGAAGAAGGCCUUCGGGUUGUAAAGCUCUUUUGUCCGGGAGCAAAUCCUGUUCACUAAUACUGAGCGGGGCUGAGAGUACCGGAAGAAUAAGCACCGGCUAACUACGUGCCAGCCGCCGCAGUAAUAC
rnacentral:rRNA from 1 species